rnacentral:rRNA from 1 species
AACGAACGCUGGCGGCAGGCCUAACACAUGCAAGUCGAACGCUCGUAGCAAUACGAGAGUGGCAGACGGGUGAGUAACACGUGGGAACCUUCCCUAUGGUUCGGAAUAGCUCAGGGAAACUUGGGGUAAUACCGGAUAAGCCCUUCGGGGAAGAUUUAUCGCCAUUGGAGGGGCCCGCGUCGGAUUAGCUAGUUGGUGAGGUAACGGCUCACCAAGGCAACGAUCCGUAGCUGGUCUGAGAGGAUGAUCAGCCACACUGGGACUGAGACACGGCCCAGACUCCUACGGGAGGCAGCAGUGGGGAAUAUUGGACAAUGGGCGAAAGCCUGAUCCAGCAAUGCCGCGUGUGUGAAGAAGGCCUGCGGGUUGUAAAGCACUUUC